rnacentral:rRNA from 1 species
GACGAACGCUGGCGGCGUGCCUAAUACAUGCAAGUAGAACGCUGAAGGAGGAGCUUGCUUCUCUGGAUGAGUUGCGAACGGGUGAGUAACGCGUAGGUAACCUGCCUUGUAGCGGGGGAUAACUAUUGGAAACGAUAGCUAAUACCGCAUAAGAGUAGAUGUUGCAUGACAUUUGCUUAAAAGGUGCAAUUGCAUCACUACCAGAUGGACCUGCGUUGUAUUAGCUAGUUGGUGGGGUAACGGCUCACCAAGGCGACGAUACAUAGCCGACCUGAGAGGGGGAUCGGCCACACUGGGACCGAGACACGGCCCAGACUCCUACGGGAGGCAGCAGGAGGGAAACUUCGGCAAUGGACGGAAGUCUGACCGAGCAACGCCGCGGGAGUGAAGAAGGGUGUCGGAUCGUAAAGCUCUGUUGUAAGAGAAGAACGAGUGUGAGAGUGGAAAGUGCACACUGUGACGGUAUCUAACCAGAAAGGGACGGCUAACUACGUG